AUUGAACGCUGGCGGCAUGCCUUACACAUGCAAGUCGAACGGCAGCACGGGAGCAAUCCUGGUGGCGAGUGGCGAACGGGUGAGUAAUAUAUCGGAACGUGCCCGGUCGUGGGGGAUAACGUAGCGAAAGCUACGCUAAUACCGCAUACGAUCUACGGAUGAAAGCGGGGGAUCGCAAGACCUCGCGCGAUUGGAGCGGCCGAUAUCAGAUUAGGUAGUUGGUGAGGUAAAGGCUCACCAAGCCGACGAUCUGUAGCUGGUCUGAGAGGACGACCAGCCACACUGGGACUGAGACACGGCCCAGACUCCUACGGGAGGCAGCAGUGGGGAAUUUUGGACAAUGGGCGGCAAGCCUGAUCCAGCAAUGCCGCGUGCAGGAUGAA
rnacentral:rRNA from 1 species